ACCAGCAUGAUGUAGUGGCUUAAAUGCUUGACUAUGACUGUAGAGACCAGGGUUCAAAUCCCUGCUCAGUCA